UUCAGGGGUAAACCUGAGAAACCCGAAAGGUCGAAAGGGGAGAUUCAGCGUGUCUCGAUCGUGGCGCUGGAUAAUCGUGCGACGGACGGCGUACGCGUCGUUCGCGCUUUUCGUCCUCCGAACUGCGGUCGAACGCGUGCACUUCUCCCCCUGUAGGACGUCGCGAUUCGUUGGGUGUCGGCCUAAGGCCCGAGGUGGAGUUCGUCCGGACGUUUCGGCGUUCGUGACGAACCCUCGGUGUUUCCCGGUCGGCUCGCUCGACGAUAUACAGAUGGCGCGGGGCCGCUAUUUAAUUAGCGUUCGACCUUCGGCAAGCGCGCUCUUCGCGACGGUGAUCGGACCUAGUGCCGGUCCCGUCCUUGGGCGACUGUUGGCCGAGGUGUUCUCGAACAGACCUCGUUGAAACGCCGAUCUGCGACGCUAUAGCUUUGGGUACUUUCAGGACCCGUCUU
rnacentral:rRNA from 1 species